CAAUAGCGUAUAUUAAAGUUGUUGCGGUUAAAAAGCUCGUAGUUGGAUUUCUGUUGAGAGCAGCGCGUCUACCUUUUGGGUAAGUAUGUUGCUUGGUCUCGGCAUCUUCGUGGAAAACGUUUCUGCGCUUGAUUGCGUGGGGCGGGGUUCACGACUUUUACUUUGAGGAAAUUAGAGUGUUCACGGCAGGCAUACUCCUUGAAUAUAUUAGCAUGGAAUAAUAACAUAGGGCUUACGGCCUAUUUUGUUGGUUUCUAGGCUGCAGGCAAUGAUUAAUAGGGACAAUUGGGGGCAUUCGUAUUAACGCGUCAGAGGUGAAAUUCUUGGAUUGCGUUACGACGAACUACUGCGAAAGCAUUUGCCAAGGAUGUUUUCAUUG
rnacentral:rRNA from 1 species